rnacentral:lncRNA from 1 species
UUUUUUUUUGUCUAGAACACAGUAUAAUGCUUUCAAAUCUCUGCCAUCUCCCUUCUGCUAUUAAUUUAUUCCAUCUUUCUAAAACCACCCAUAGAAAAAUGUCCUCCCAUUUAACGUUUCUUUGAGUCUUCAAGGCUUAGCUGUUUUAUUUGUAAGGUGGCAAUGUCCAACACAGUCAGUAGAUGUCACUGUCUAAUAGUCAAGGUGUCCAUUCAACAAGCCUUUGGGGUCAGACGCUUCAAGUUCUCUUGGAUGGAUUAACUCCCUUUUUGGUUGGCUCUAAAAUCUGUGCAUAGUAUUUACUUAAGACAGUAUGUAGCCCUCUCUCCAUUUCAGAUAUGACGUUAGAGACGUGGUUUGCCCAGCGUCUGUGAUCACCAGCUUUCACCGCCUUCCAGCUGCAGUGCAUUGCCUCAUGCACCAAGAAGUCACAGUUGCCCUUCAAGGCUGAUUCAAUGGCAUUUAAUGGUAUCUAACCCUGGCCCAUUGCCCUCUGGACUUGGGUCUUUCAGUUAUGGCCAAAAUCUUAGUUCCGAAGAUGGAGACGGGAUCAGGUACCACAUGGUCCCGAGUGCAGGAGCCAGUCUGAAUGUGUCCUGUCACUUGAUAGCAGACAGACACUCCUCAUCAGCUACUCAGGACUCCAGGCGCCAGGAAGUAAGUUGAGGUCAGGGAGUUUGUUUUAUCUACUGAUUUGGAAAAAUAUUUAGCCUCCCUGGAACAGGGAUGUGCAUUCCGUGAGCCUGAAGCCAUGAAAUUUGGCAAGUCCCAUAUCAGAUGCCUAAAACUGUUAUACAACUCAGUCUAAUUUAGAUUGUAAGGCUGCCAGAGGGAACUUAAGUCUCUUCUUGGUUCCAAAAGUCCCUUCUGUCUGACAAUUCUUGGGGCCCAGCAAUCAGUGUUGAUCAAUAGCAAUUAUCAUAAUAAUGAUAUCCAUUGCCCAGACUUGAACCACAGCUCAAGAUGCAUCGCUUUGGAUAAUUGGUAGUUAGAAUUUGGCCCAGAGAGACAUGUGAGUGACUUGUGCAAUAAUCUGGCUAUCCUACAAAUUAAAGACAAAGGUAUCUGACACUGGGAGGUGAAAACAUCUCCCAGGUGAGUGUUUCUUGCACAGUUGGCUCUGACUAGAAAACAAAAGCC